GACGAACGCUGGCGGCGUGCUUAACACAUGCAAGUCGAGCGGUAAGGCCCUUCGGGUACGACGAGCGGCGAACGGGUGAGUAACACGUGGGUGACCUGCCUCUAGCUCUGGGAUAAGCCUGGGAAACUGGGUCGUAAUACCGGAUAUGACUCCACGGCGCAUGUUGUGGGGUGGAAAGCCUUGUGUGGCUAGAGAUGGGCCCGCGGCCUAUCAGCUUGUUGGUGGGGUGAUGGCCUACCAAGGCGACGACGGGUAGCCGGCCUGAGAGGGCGACCGGCCACACUGGGACUGAGACACGGCCCAGACUCCUACGGGAGGCAGCAGUGGGGAAUCUUGCGCAAUGGGCGAAAGCCUGACGCAGCGACGCCGCGUGAGGGAUGACGGCCU
rnacentral:rRNA from 1 species